rnacentral:rRNA from 1 species
GAUGGCCGCAGAGACCAGGGAGAAGCGACUGUUUACUAAAAACACAGGUCCGUGCGAAGUCGUAAGACGAUGUAUACGGACUGACUCCUGCCCGGUGCUGGAAGGUUAAGGGGAACUGUGAGUGUAUGCGUAGCGGUGAACUUAAGCCCCAGUAAACGGCGGUGGUAACUAUAACCAUCCUAAGGUAGCGAAAUUCCUUGUCGGGUAAGUUCCGACCUGCACGAAUGGAGUAACGAUUUCCCUACUGUCUCCACCAUGAACUCGGUGAAAUUGCAUUACGAGUAAAGAUGCUCGUUACGCGCAGCAGGACGGAAAGACCCCGGGACCUUUACUAUAGUUUGGUAUUGGUGAUUGGGACGGUUUGUGUAGGAUAGGUGGGAGACUGUGAAGCUGUCACGCUAGUGGUGGUGGAGUCGUUGGUGAAAUACCACUCUGGUCGUUCUGGUUAUCUAACGUUGGGCCAUGAUCUGGUUCACGGACAGUGCCUGAUGGGUAGUUUGACUGGGGCGGUCGCCUCCUAAAAGGUAACGGAGGCGUGCAAAGGUUCCCUCAGACUGGACGGAAAUCAGUCGAAGAGUGUAAAGGCAAAAGGGAGCUUGACUGCAAGACCUACAAGUCAAGCAGGGACGAAAGUCGGC